GACGAACGCUGGCGGCGUGCCUAAUACAUGCAAGUCGAGCGAAUCGAUGGGAGCUUGCUCCCUGAGAUUAGCGGCGGACGGGUGAGUAACACGUGGGUAACCUGCCUGUAAGACUGGGAUAACUUCGGGAAACCGGAGCUAAUACCGGAUACUUUCUUUUCUCGCAUGAGGGAAGAUGGAACGAUGGUUCUGCUAUCACUUACAGAUGGACCCGCGGCGCAUUAGCUAGUUGGCGAGGUAACGGCUCACCAAGGCAACGAUGCGUAGCCGACCUGAGAGGGUGAUCGGCCACACUGGGACUGAGACACGGCCCAGACUCCUACGGGAGGCAGCAGUAGGGAAUCUUCCGCAAUGGACGAAAGUCUGACGGAGCAACGCCGCGUGAGCGAAGAAGGCCUUCGGGUCGUAAAGCUCUGUUGUUAGGGAAGAACGAGUACGAGAGUAACUGCUCGUACCUUGACGGUACCUAGCCAGAAAGCCACGGCUAACUACGUGCCAGCCGCCGCAGUAAAAC
rnacentral:rRNA from 1 species